rnacentral:rRNA from 1 species
GACGAACGCUGGCGGCGUGCUUAACACAUGCAAGUCGAACGAAAUUUUCCUUUCUGGAGGAACUUAGUGGCGGACGGGCGGGUAACGCGCGCGUAAGUUGCCUUGUACUGGCGGAGAGCUGACUGAAACAGCCGCUAAUUCAUCACAAGUACGAACUACUGCUUGGUGGUGGGGGUAGGGGAGCGUUCCGGUAUAGGAUGGACCCCCGUCUGAUUAGCCAGGUGGCAGGGUAACUGCCUUCCAAAGCGACGAUCAGGAGCCGAUCUGAGAGGAUGUACGGCCACAUUGGGACUGAGACACGGCCCAGACUCCUACGGGAGGCAGCAGUGGGGAAUAUUGCACAAUGGAGGAAACUCUGAUGCAGCGACGCCGCGUGAGUGAAGAAGUAUUUCGGUAUGUAAAGCUCUAUCAGCAGGGAAGAAAAUGACGGUACCGGGCUAAGAAGCACCGGCUAAAUACGUG